rnacentral:misc_RNA from 1 species
GUACCUUCAAGCCUUGCUUGGUGUUGGGUGUUUGUCUCGCCUUUGCGCGCAGACUCGCCUCAAAACAAUUGGCAGCCGGCGUAUUGAUUUCGGAGCGCAGUACAUCUCGCGCUUUGCACUCAGAACGACGACGUCCAAAAGUACAUUUUUACAC